AUAGGUGAAGAACUCUGGAAUGAGUCUUUGCCAAAAAGAUGCUAGAGUUAUGCUCUUUGGCAUCGCCCAAGGAUGAGGCCGCGACCGAUCAGGUUGUUGGUGAGGUAAUGGCUCACCAAGCCUUUUACCGGUGCGGGCCGUGAGAGCGGGAGCCCGGAGAUGGGCACUGAGACAAGGGCCCAGGCCCUACGGGGCGCAGCAGUCGCGAAAACUUUGCAAUACACGAAAGUGUGACAGGGCUAUCCCGAGUGCCAUCCGCUGAGGAAGGCUUUUACCCAGUCUAGAACGCUGGGGGAAUAAGGAGAGGGCAAGUCUGGUGUCAGCCGCCGCGGUAAUACCAGCUCUCCGAGUGGUGUGGAUGUUUAUUGGGCCUAAAGCAUCCGUAGCUGGCUAAGUUAGUCCCUUGUUAAAUCCACCGAAUUAAUCGUUGGAUUGCGGGGGAUACUGCUUGGCUAGGGGACGAGAGAGGCAGACGGUAUUUCCGGGGUAGGGGUGAAAUCCUAUAAUCCCGGGAGGACCACCAGUGGCGAAGGCUGUCGGCUAGAACGCGCUCGACGGUGAGGGAUGAAAGCUGGGGGAGCGAACCGGAUUAGAUACCCGGGUAGUCCCAGCUGUAAACGAUGCAGGCUAGGUGUUGGCGCGGCUACGUGCCGCUCCAGUGCCGCAGGGAAGCCGUUAAGCCUGCCGCCUGGGAAGUACGGCCGCAAGGCUGAAACUU
rnacentral:rRNA from 1 species